rnacentral:lncRNA from 1 species
AUGAAGAACAAUUAUGGAUUUUGGCUCAAUAGGGGUGCAAUUGGAUAAACUUCUUUUAACAUUUGGAUAACGAAAAAAUGGCCACACUUCACUCUGAAUAUUGUUUGCCUGACUUUCUCUCGACUUUAAACCUGAAACAAAACUCUGCAGUGUUUGACACAUCGACUUCAUUUUUCCUUUCUUUGUUUCCUUUGUUUUGUUUUAUAU